UAGAGUUUGAUCAUGGCUCAGAUUGAACGCUGGCGGCAGGCCUAACACAUGCAAGUCGAGCGGCAGCGGGAAGUAGCUUGCUACUUUGCCGGCGAGCGGCGGACGGGUGAGUAAUGUCUGGGAAACUGCCUGAUGGAGGGGGAUAACUACUGGAAACGGUAGCUAAUACCGCAUGACCUCGCAAGAGCAAAGUGGGGGACCUUCGGGCCUCACGCCAUCGGAUGUGCCCAGAUGGGAUUAGCUAGUAGGUGAGGUAAUGGCUCACCUAGGCGACGAUCCCUAGCUGGUCUGAGAGGAUGACCAGCCACACUGGAACUGAGACACGGUCCAGACUCCUACGGGAGGCAGCAGUGGGGAAUAUUGCACAAUGGGCGCAAGCCUGAUGCAGCCAUGCCGCGUGUGUGAAGAAGGCCUUAGGGUUGUAAAGCACUUUCAGCGAGGAGGAAGGGUUCAGUGUUAAUAGCACUGU
rnacentral:rRNA from 1 species